GAUGAACGCUGGCGGCGUGCUUAACAAAUGCAAGUCGAACGGAAAGGCUCCUGCUUGCAGGGGUACUCGAGUGGCGAACGGGUGAGUAACACGUGGGUGAUCUGCCCUGCACUUCGGGAUAAGCCUGGGAAACUGGGUCUAAUACCGGAUAGGACCACAUUUUGGAUGGUGUGGUGGAAAGUUUUUCGGCGUGGGAUGAGCUCGCGGCCUAUCAGCUUGUUGGUGGGGUAAUGGCCUACCAAGGCGUCGACGGGUAGCCGGCCUGAGAGGGUGUACGGCCACAUUGGGACUGAGAUACGGCCCAGACUCCUACGGGAGGCAGCAGUGGGGAAUAUUGCACAAUGGGCGCAAGCCUGAUGCAGCGACGCCGCGUGGGGGAUGACGGCCUUCGGGUUGUAAACUCCUUUCGCUAGGGACGAAGCGCAAGUGACGGUACCUGGAGAAGAAGCACCAGCUAACUACGUG
rnacentral:rRNA from 1 species